rnacentral:ncRNA from 1 species
GUCUCCGCGAGGUGGGGUCCGAAGGAAGCCGGAGGCAAAACCGGGCACUGAGGAACACGAACCGUAUUAGGCGGGGCGGACUGGGUAAGUCGGCUGACUACGACGAAGCCCGCUCUCACCAAGAAAGCCGCAACGUAGAUACGGCAGGGGUCCGGGGAAAGUUGCUGUU